rnacentral:lncRNA from 1 species
UGGUUGCUUCCUUCCCCCCCUUUGAGAAACAUGAGGACAUUAGGCGAGUGAGCAGGAGCCCUGAAGGCGAUGGCAGGAAGAGGAAUUGCCAAGGUGAAUGGAGUCUGAGAACACUAGUUAUUGUAAGGGACAGAGUAUGUAAAAACACUGAAAAGCCCUUCAGCGGACAGUCACCAUUUUGGGACUUCCCACCCCGGUGAGAUCUGGGACUGGACAGCUCUGUUGUAGGGGGCUGUCCUGUGCAGGCCACAGAGACAAUCUUCACAUAAGUUGCCAUCCAAUAAUUGUGUUGAAUAAGAUGAGAAAGAGGAAGGAGGAAAGCCAUCGAGCAGGUCACCAAGAACAGGUUAACCUCGUUCACUGAGAUCGGGAAAUAACGGUGAGCCAGAUCCAUACUGUCCUGGUCUCGUGGAUCAAAGAUGAGCCCUGUUGAAGCCAUCUUGCUUAAAUAGUCCUUGGCCUCUUCCGCUGGAGUUGUGGAUUUAGAGUGAGAGGAUACGGAGCAGCUGACAUGGAGGCCUCAUCCAAUCCAGUCUAAGCCUUACUCAGUAAUUGCGGCCCCUGCCUGGACACUGGAGCUUUCAGCUGCUAACCCACCCCACACUAGGUAGGUGGGCUUCGAAGGCGGAGCUCCCCGGCGCCUCAAGGUUUUGUUAACACUGAGAAUUGAAAGACCCGGCGCACCAUAGGAAACAUGCAGGAUGCUUCAAGAUAGGAAACAUGCAGGAUGCUUCCAGACACAAGCUUGACAACGGUGCACAGGAGACUUCCUGCCGGUCCCCAACUGAAAAGAAUGGGAAUUGGCGACAGUUUACAGCUGACUUAUUUCUUAGACUUCAUUUCUAGAGUUACAUUUAGUCAACUUUUAACAAUGAUGAAAAAAACAAUACCACCUGUGUAGCCCUCAAAGAAUAAACCCAGAAGGCUUCCGUACAAGACAGACAACCAAGAGAACACACUCCAACAGGCAAUGGCCACAGUCCAAAGAUCAUGAGUAUUACCAGGACUUAUUCUCCAACUUAUGGUCAAGUAAAUAAUGGGUUUAAAAUUGCUGUCAUUUGCCUGAUUGUGUUCAAGGAAGGAAAACCCAAAAUACUACUUAGCAGGAGAGGAGGCGAGAUCACGACCAUCCACAGUGUCAGUUGGGCUGGCAAAGUCUUUACUUAAUGUUAGGGCUCUUGGUUCUCACUUUAGAGAAGUGAAUUAGUGAAAACCAUCAAGAGUUGUGGAGCCUGUCACCCUGGUUUGAACUCUGGCUUCUCUACAGCUGUCACUGGCCCACUUCUCCGGGCUUUCAUUUUUCCAACUGAGAAAUGGAGGUAUCUGCUCAGCCAACUCCGUUUUUUAUGCUUUGCCUAAAAAGGAGUUCUCACCCAACACUGCUGCAGUGGGAAAUGGCUGACUGCCCCAGCGCUACCGGGCGCAGAGCUCUUUCGGGGGAUGGAAAUGGCGGCGGCACAAGCUUUUCACUUCAAGAUUUGAGGGUUCCGCCUGGCAGCGACUGUCUAGCAUGAAGCUCCUUUCCCAAAAGCAGAUGUCAGAGGAAGGACUCCAUUCUGUACAAGAUCCUCUCGCCGGGGUCAUAUGAUAAGGCAGUCUUAACAGAUAUUUGCAUGGAG